GGCGACCGCGCUGCUUUCCCUCAGGCCGCCGCGGCGGCGCCCGCCCGCGCCUCCAUCCGGGUCCUGGCGCGGUGCUCUCCCGGCAGCGACGGGCGCGAGGGCCGGGGCAUUCCCACGGCCGCGACGGCCCUCUCCGCGAGCGCGAGGAUGUACAUGAAGCAUGGCACCAACAGCUGCUCCUGUGAGGCCUCAAGAAGCUUACAAUCGUGGCAGAAGCUGAAGGGGGAGCCAGCGUGUGGCAUGGCAAGGGAAGGAGCAAGAGAGAGAGGGAGGAGCUGCCAGGCUCUUGAACAACCAGAUCUCACGUGAACUCACAGAUUGAAAUUCACUCAUUACUGUGAGGACACACCAAGCCAUUUAUGAGGGAUGCACCCCUAUGACCCAAACACCUCCUACUAGGCCCACCUCCAACAUCAGAGGUCACAUGAAACGAGAUGUAUAGGGGACAAAACAGUCAAACCAUAUCAGUCCCACCAGCAAGAAGGCUCUCACUGGAUGUGGUCCCUUGAUCUUGGACUUCUCAGCCUCUGUAACUGUAAAAAAUAAAUUUUGUUUCUUAUAAAUU
rnacentral:lncRNA from 1 species